GACGUAGGUGGCAAACGUUAUCCGGAAUUAUUGGGCGUAAAGGGUGCGUAGAUGGCCUGAUAAGUUAGCAGUGGGAAAUCGAGGCUCAACCUCGUGGAAGCUGGUAAUACUGUCAGGCUCGAGUGCAGGAGAGGUUAACGGAACUCCAUGUGGAGCGGUAAAAUGUGUAGAUAUAUGGAAGAGCACCAAUAACGGCGAAGGCAGUUAACUAUUCUGUUACUGACAUUGAGGCACGAAAGCGUGGGGAGCAAAACGG
rnacentral:rRNA from 1 species